CCUACGAGAGGCAGCAGUGAGGAAUAUUGGUCAAUGGACGAGAAUCUGAACCAGCCAAGUAGCGUGAAGGAUGACUGCCCUAUGGGUUGUAAACUUCUUUUAUAAAGGAAUAAAACGAGGCACGUGUGCCUUUUUGCAUGUCCUCUAUGAAUAAGUCUCGGCUAACUCCGUGCCAGCAGCCCCGGUAAUACGGAGGAUCCGAGCGUUAUCAGGUUUUAUUGGGUUUAAAUGGGGCGUAGAGGGGUCGUUAAGUCAGUUGUGAAAGUUUGCGGCUCAACCGGAAAAGUGCAAUUGAAACGGGCUGUCUUGAGUGCAGGUGAGGUAGGCGGAAUUCGUGGUGUAGCGGUGAAAUGCUUAGAUAUAACGAAGAACCCCGAUUGCGAAGGCAGCUUACUAAACUGUGACUGACAUUGAGGCUCGAAAGUGUGGGUAUCAAACAGGAUUAGAUACCCUAGUAGUC
rnacentral:rRNA from 1 species